CUCUGCUCACCAGUUCUCCACAGGGUCACAACCAUUGUCCCAAAAGCUCCAUUGUGGGGGUUUGAAAUCCAUCUGUCAUUCAUGGGGAUGUUUGACACGCUCAGAAACCAGUCUGUCAUCUGCCACCAGCCGGGCCCAAUGGGUCUUGGUUCUGCCUGCCAUCCAGGAAUCUGAGGUGUCCAUUCCCAUUGCCAACCCGGCUCUCUGUUCAGGUCCCAGAAGAUGCUCCAUCAAAAAGGUGCCUCGGAGCACAAGUGUGAGGAAGCCUGAACUCUGCACCCGACUGUGAAGAGUCAGUCACAAAGCACAUCAGCACAUUGAGGAUUCGGAGAAACCGUAUCAUCAAAACACUGUGAGAGCAGCAUUUCUCAAAAGCAUUUGGCAUGAAACCCAUUCUUCUAGCUUCACC